rnacentral:rRNA from 1 species
UACGUAGGGGGCAAGCGUUGUCCGGAUUUAUUGGGCGUAAAGAGCGUGUAGGCGGCCAUGUAGGUCCGUUGUGAAAACUCGAGGCUCAACCUCGAGACGCCGAUGGAAACCAUGUGGCUAGAGUCCGGAAGAGGAGAGUGGAAUUCCUGGUGUAGCGGUGAAAUGCGCAGAUAUCAGGAAGAACACCCGUGGCGAAGGCGGCUCUCUAGUACGGUACUGACGCUGAGACGCGAAAGCGUGGGGAGCAAACAGG